rnacentral:rRNA from 1 species
UACGUAGGGCGCAAGCGUUGUCCGGAAUUAUUGGGCGUAAAGAGCUCGUAGGCGGCUUGUUGCGUCGACCGUGAAAACCCGGGGCUCAACUUCGGGCUUGCGGUCGAUACGGGCGGGCUAGAGUUCGGUAGGGGAGACUGGAAUUCCUGGUGUAGCAGUGAAAUGCGUAGAUAUCAGGAGGAAUACCGAUGGCGAAGGCAGGUCUCUGGGCUGACACUGACGCUCAUGCACGAAAGCGUGGGGAGCAAACAGG